ACGUGGUGAUGUCAACCUCUUGUUGGCGACAAGCCAAAGGGGAACAUUGACUUGGCCACAGCAUUGCUGUUUUCUAGAUUGAGUGUUGCCUCCAGCCUAUGAAUGAUGCUUUUCAUGGGUCUCCAAGCAGUCAUUGAGCAGUCUUUCUUUUGAAGUAAGGCAUGUUGUUGGUAUAGUUGGUUCAUAAAUUUAGAAGAACGUUUAAACUGCACGAGGAAGACGACACGUUAGAAACAUAUAACACGUACACACAUGAAGUGCAGACUUUCAAGUGUGUUUAUUUCUUGAAGGUAGAACAUUCAUAAGAGCUGCGAAAAUGUGGCAAGACCACAGGCGCGUUACAAUUCCGGAAGGGUUCAUCUUAGAGUGACCAUCUAAGAAAUUUAUUUCCUUUUUGUCUUUUUUUGCGAUGAAGAAGCCUUGAUGACAUCUUUCUGUUCUCGUUUUUGCAUUAGAAAGGAAUUUAGUUUUUCCAGCUGAGGAAAACAGCUCGUGUUGUCGCAGUUCUUGCAUUGUAAGGCAAGAUUACUGUCCGAGCCAGUGCGCAUGGAUUGCUUGUGUUCCUGCGCGCAUUCAUUGAAGCAGCGGCCGGUUUGACCAAUAUACGACCGACCACAGGACAAAGGAAUUUAUUAAAUAAUAUUUGACAUGCA